rnacentral:rRNA from 1 species
UACGUAGGGUGCAAGCGUUAAUCGGAAUUACUGGGCGUAAAGCGCACGCAGGCGGUUUGUUAAGCCAGAUGUGAAAUCCCCGGGCUCAACCUGGGAACUGCAUCUUGUACUGGCAAGCUUGAGUCUGGUAGAGGGGGGUAGAAUUCCACGUGUAGCGGUGAGAUGCGUAGAGAUCUGGAGGAAUACCGGUGGCGAAGGCAGCCCCCUGGACGAAGACUGACGCUCAUGUGCGAAAGCGUGGGGAGCAAACAGG